rnacentral:ncRNA from 1 species
CAGUGUAGUAGAGGUGCAGGCAACAAAAGUACUUUCAGGGAAGAGUGGUAUCAAUGAUCUGAAAGAAAAGGGUUGUCUGCCGAAGCGAUUGUGUCACCGGGACAUUUUCGCUGGUCUUGUAUAAAAUAUAUACAAGAUUGUCACCAUGUUACCUCAUGGUGGAGCGCUAUCUCACUA